UUCUAAACACUUCUUGGCCAAACUCAAUUUUCAGUCUUGGAUUGAUUCUCUUUUUUUCUUUGCAUCCUUCAAUCAAAUUAAAUAUUUGCUAUUGGAUAAAGUAUGCAGGUGGAGGUUGUCCUGACAGCUUCUCAAGGGUUAUUUUUGUCAUUUCAAUGAGGAUAAAUAGGUCAUUUUCAAUUUUGGUUGGUACAUCUGUGUUCUCAGAAUUAGAAAUACAAUAUUUAUUCUAUGAUAAACUUCAUUUUGAUGGAAGCGUUGGUUUUCUCUUACUAAAAAAAAACAAAAUUCAUUCUCAGAAUUUUCUUCUCCUCUAAUAAUCUUCUUGUUCUCAGAUCUUCAAUUUAUACAGUGUAAGUUUUUUCGUUCCUAUUUUUUCUUCUUCAAAUUUUAGAAAGAUUCAACUUUUCGUUGUUGUAAUUUUGUUUGACCAUAUUGGAGCAUUCUUGAAACUGCAAAAGAUCAAUUAUUUUUGAUAAUUUUAAUUUGAAACGUUAAUUUGGCUGAUUGUUCACUUAUUUCCUCUUCGUCUCGAAUUUUUUCUUUACGCUUUAGAUUUCGUUAAAUGGGUUUACAAAUUUUAAUUCUCUCAAAAAUAAAAAUAAUCAUAGUUGAGGAAUCGCACAACAAUUGAUUAGUUAUAUGUUGGAUAGAAAAGGCUAUGCUGCAAUUUGCUAAGCCAUUUGUUGAAAACUUAUUUUUCCCUUCUUUUGACGGGAAACGCGACAAAGAUCAUCAUCAGAGAGCAAGGAGUGCAGGAAAAAACUUGUAUCCCAUCAAUAUGUCUAUACCAUGACGAAUUAGAGGGUGAAGACUUUCUAUUCAGAACCAACUUUGACGAGAUGGAAAACUAGAAGUGAAACGUUAAUUGUAUUGCUUUAUUUCUCUUGUUAUAGGAAUGAGAUUUUACAAAAAGUUUCAUCUUUCCAUUAUUAUAUUCACAAGUUAAUAUCAUUUUAAAGUAUUUUUCUGUACUUUCUGGAAAUUAUUUAAAAAAUUAGUUACAAGCAGUCCUCAACAACAGGGAUAGAAAACUGAAAGUCCUCUACUUAUGAUUUUCCUUCUAUCGUCGUCAAAUUUAGGGGUAAGUUGGUCAGUUUUCAUUAUUUUUGAAAUGGUAUUUUACUUCUUAUAUAUCUAUUGUGAUAUCGAAAGCUUGAGCAAAUUAAAGCAGUUUCAAAAUUCCUAAAUUGUGAAAAUCAAGUUGUAGGAUGUAAGUUAAGUAGGCUAUUGGUUUAGGGACAUACAUAUCUUCUUGUGCUAUCCAUGUAUGACAACUUCUUAUGGGAAGAUUCAUGCCCAUAUAUAUCUGAGUAUAUUCUUGAUUCAAUCUAACUAAUUGUGUAUACAAUUGUCUUUUCCAUAUAAUAUUUCUGCAUAUAAUUCUUACUUUGAAUUAAUGGUGUAAAACAAAAUCAAAUGAAUUUUUGUUAACUUCUCUCAUCUCUAUAUCUUUUAUUUUCUAUAUCCUUUGGACUCCAGGAAGGAGAUAUCUCUAGCUUUAUAGGAUAAAUUAAAGUUUUAGAUCAGUUCAUACUUGUUUAUAUAAUUAUAUCCGAGGAACAUCAUUUCUUCAAGUAACUUUGCAGUGCUAGAAAACACUUAAGAUUUUCAUGUUUGAAGUUCUAAAUUACCAUACUAUGCAAGCAUUUUCGUUAUAUCUAUUUUUAUUUUCAAGUGGACUUCACUAUGGAGAAUCUGGAAAGACAGCAUUUGCACUUUGUCUAGCUCACGUUUUCUAACAUGCAUUUGAAUUUUUUUCUUCGAAUUAUGAUAAUAUUUGGUGUACCAUGACUAACAAGUCAUUCCUGGAUUUAUUAAGGUAAGAUUUUCAUGGAACCAAGCUUUUCCGUUGUCUUCAGUAUUUGAAUGGUGUUUUAUUCGAGUUGUUGUUGAGCUUUAAUGUGAUAAUUAUUUUGGCAUUAGAAGAAGUACUAUUUUGGCAUUAGGAGUUGCUGAUGUUUGAAUUCUAAGAUUUAUAUAUUACUUAAUAAUUUCUGUCUAACAUUCGAUUUAAUGAUAGAGUGCUCCAUUAAUAGUUCGCGAUGGUGGAAACAUUUAAGUUCUUUGGUAUUAGUAGCUCCUAGUAAUUUCUUCAUUUCUAUACAUACAAGUUUGUCAAAACAGACAUAACAUAACGAUACACUUGGAAGCUCCAUAUCAAUAAAUAUGAUAUUAUCUGCCUUGAAGCAGAAUGAGCAAAACAUUCAUAGUUUCCUCCCGGGAUGAAACUUGAAGAUUGCCUUUAUGUAACAAACACCUACUCAUAUCGUCUACCUCAGGUUAGUUGUUGAUUUUUUUAUGGUCUGAACUCAUUGAAAAUAACUUUCUUAAAUUUGAAUUAAACUAGUUGAUUUCAGGGACAAAAAUAGCGGCAAUCCACCAAUUAUUUAGUUUGCUAUUAACGAAUUUUAAGCCACUUCAAUUAUGUGCAAGAACUUGAUAGAAAAAUGAAUAACUCUUUGCUUAACAAAAUGUGGUGUCUAAUUCUUCCUCUGAUCUUAUGUCUUUUUUUUUUUUUUAAAGAAACAAAAACAUUUUUGAGAGAUAAAAGAAUAGCUCUUUGCUUAACAAAAUAUCGAUGUCUAAUUCUUCCUUUGAUCUUAUGCCUUCUUUGUUUUCUAAACAUUUUUGUUUGUUAUAUUCACAAGGUGAUUUACUGUUGAGGAUGAUAAUACAAGAGAUAACAUAAAUCUCAAGUUAAUUAUAUCAUCACUGUACUUCAGGCGACUCAGAAAAAACAUAAACUUUGGUUCUUUGAAACAUUUGAGUGAUGUUAAAAGCUUGGUUUAAUAAGCUGCAUAAGGUAUUUUUCUACCUCUCUAUUUGAUCAAUGUAAUUUUAUUCUUUAAAUACAACGACUGUUGGGGCUCAUUUUAUUUUUAUUUUGCUGAAGAUAAUGUAACGGGAACCACAUAAUUUCAAUGUUAAAUUGCUUCCAUUUUGUUUAUGUAUGCAUUAGUUCAUGUAUGCCUUGACUUAUGUUUUAUGGUGGAUGAUUGAAGACAUCAUUUCUAUUUUAUGUUAAAUGAUUAUUCUUAGCAGCAAACUUGCACUUAUAUAAUUGAAAAGUGGAUUGUAUGAUAUCACAUUCUGUUGCCGAUGGCAAAUACAGGAAAGGACUAUGAUGUUGUUUCUGAAGUGCUUAGUUUGAGGUUUAAAUAUGUGCUUAUGGACUGGUGAGUAGGCUAUGAACUUGCUCACGUAUAGAUAAGAACUCUUUAUUUUUAUAUGUCAUCAGAACUAAUAGUAAAUGUAGCCAUUUCAUUUGAAUGCACUAUGUGUUUGAACUAUUAAAACCAAGUGAAGACCAAGUACUUUGUUCUUUAUUUUAGUUAUAGUUAAGGAGUCAAUAUCUUAGCUUUAAGUCUGUGUUUUUGUCUAGGGGUGUCUUGGACUAAACUAUGUGGACUUUUCAUAUUCGAUGCCACGUCCGUGUCAGUUUAUAUAAAAAUACAUUACUUUUAAAAAAUGUGGCAUACACCAGUUGAUAUGUUUGAAGAGUCCGCGUAACAUAGACCUUGGACAUUUUUUCCUAUCUAAUGAUGCAAGAUGGUUUUCAAGUUUCAGCUGCAUGGACAUAGUUUUAUAUUUGUCAUCUUGAUGUUUUAGUUUUGUUCCAUGCGUUCUAAUUUAGAAAAUGGAGGAGAUAACUGAGGUAAUGAUAACCUGAGUGCAAGGCAGAAUGUGAUUACUACUAAUUAGUUCUUGAUGAUAGUCUGGUUUGUUCUUUGGAUCAAUACAUACAUGUUUGUCAAAAUAAACAUUUUGGAUAUAUUUUUGGUUUUAGUAACUCCCAAUAAUUUCUUCAUUUCUAUACAUACAGGUUUGUCAAAACAGACAUACACUUGGAGUCUCCUUUCUGUGAUCAGGCUGUUGUUGGUUUAUGGGUCCUCUCAUUGAUACUGAUUGUAUCUUCUUCUCAAUGCAACAACAUUCAUGCUACUCCAUGCAGUUCCUGUUAUUUACGAAAAGUAUGAAGAUAAAGUGAAUCCAUUUGUUGAGAAAGCAAUGCCAAAGAUCAAGAAACAAUACGUUGUCUUUGAUGCCAAAAUUUUGAAUAAAAUUCCCAUAGGGCCAUUAGAAGAUAAGAAAAGAGAUGUAUUCAUGUACCUGUUCAUUACUUGCUUCUGUUGGUCUAAUAUUAUAUGCUAUGGUAUUGUUCUUUUGAUCUAACAAUAUUCACCUGAAUACUGACUUGGUGAUGUAGCUCAUGUAAAUUGAGAUGCUGAAAUAGGGUGGAUGGUGAGAUCAA